GCAUAUCAAUAAGCGGAGGAAAAGAAACUAACCAGGAUUCCCCUAGUAACGGCGAGUGAAGCGGGAAAAGCUCAAAUUUGUAAUCUGGCGCCUUUGGCGUCCGAGUUGUAAUCUCGAGAAGUAUUUUCCGCGCUGGACCGCACAUAAGUCUGUUGGAAUACAGCGUCAUAGUGGUGAGAACCCCGUAUAGGGUGCGGAUGCCCAGUGCUUUGUGAUCUACUUUCGAAGAGUCGAGUUGUUUGGGAAUGCAGCUCAAAUUGGGUGGUAAAUUCCAUCUAAAGCUAAAUAUUGGCGAGAGACCGAUAGCGAACAAGUACCGUGAGGGAAAGAUGAAAAGCACUUUGGAAAGAGAGUUAACAGUACGUGAAAUUGUUGGAAGGGAAACGCUUGAAGUCAGACUUGCAUUUUGGAGUUCAGCCGCAAGGUGUAUUCUUCAAUUCGCAGGCCAGCAUCAGUUUUUGGGGGUGGAAAAGCGUGGUUUGAAGGUAGCAGCUUCGGCUGUGUUAUAGCUUUCCACUGGAUUCACUUUUGGGGACUGAGGAACGCAGUACGCUUUUUGCAAGAUCUUCGGAUCUUUCGUACUUAGGAUGCUGGUGGAAUGGCUUUAAACGACCCGUCUUG
rnacentral:rRNA from 1 species